rnacentral:tRNA from 1 species
GGUAAAAUGGCUGAGGUUGAAGGUGAUAGAUUGUAAAUCUAUUUAGGGGAUUAAAAUCCUUUUUACCA